AACGAACGCUGGCGGGAGGCCUAACACAUGCCAGUCGAGCGAGAUCUUCGGGUCUAGCGGCGGACGGGUGAGUAACGCGUGGGAAUAUGCCCUUCUCUGCGGAAUAGCCUCGGGAAACUGAGCGUAAUACCGCAUACGCCCUUUGGGGAAAAGAUUUAACGGAGAAGUAUAAGCCGGGGUGGGAUUGGGCAGUUGGGGGGGGAAGGGCCUACCAAGCCGUGGUUCCAUAGCUGGGUUGAGAGGAUGAGCAGCCACACUGGGAGUGAGACACGGCCCAGACUCCUACGCGAGGCAGGAGUGGGGAAUCUUAGACAAUGGGGGCAACCCUGAUCGAGCCAUGCCGGGUGAGUGAUGAAGGCCUUAGGGUUGUAAAGCUCUUUCAGCUGGGAAGAUAAUGACGGUACCAGCAGAAGAAGCCCCGGCUAACUCCGUG
rnacentral:rRNA from 1 species